rnacentral:lncRNA from 10 species
AUCAGCUACAGUAAAACACUACAUUUAGUAGCCUUUACAGUCAUUCCACUGAGUUGUAUCAAGUUCAAAAGAUGAGGCCAGACAGCCUAUACCAACAAGGCGCUCAGGUAGGUGUUUCUUAGAAGAUGAAGACGCAGUUUUCCUGCACACCACCUGGGGGCAGCAGUGCUGCCUGUGUUUUACAACUGCUGAAACAAACUAAAUAGAAACGUGGAAUGUCACUAUCCAGCUAUUGUUUGAGCAAAGCUGCCUGGUCUGCAUAAGAGCAUAACAAUUAUAAUGCAUUGCAAUUUGCCAGAUAAUAACAGUUCCAGAGUUGAAAUGUCUGAAUUCUGAAAGAACAAUGAUGGACAGCUCACAAAUAUCUGCUGUGAGCAAUGCCUUCAGUCGCUUGCCUGAAUGGAUCUGGUGCUGCCCUGAGAGGCCACUUGUGCUUCUGUCUGCUGAGGGGUCGGUGUCUUUUGCUCACACCCAUUCUAUCCCUGGGCUUAGAAGUAGGAGAUAGUCCUGUUUGUUCCUUGCCAUCAUUUUCAAAUGUUUAUACUUUUUCUCCUGCCCUCAUCAUGUCCCCCAUAAUCCCUGCCUAAAGAAAAAGCUGUGUGGCCUAUGCUGUAGACUGUGGCACCAACCUUGAGCCUUAGAGGUCUCCUCUGAGGCCACCGGCCUCAUUCCCUAAAGACCUUAGCACCUGGUCCCUGUCUGUCUCCCCAGCACUGCUUCUGCUAUAAUGCAUCGGUGUG